ACGGGAGGCAGCAGUGGGGAAUAUUGGGCAAUGGGCGAAAGCCUGACCCAGCAACGCCGCGUGAAGGAAGAAGGUUUUCGGAUUGUAAACUUCUUUUAUCAGGGACGAAGAAAGUGAUGGUACCUGAUGAAUAAGCCACGGCUAACUACGUGCCAGCAGCCGCGGUAAUACGUAGGUGGCAAGCGUUAUCCGGAUUUACUGGGUGUAAAGGGCGCGUAAGCGGGGAUGCAAGUCAGAUGUGAAAUCUAUGGGCUUAACCCAUAAACUGCAUUUGAAACUGUAUCUCUUGAGUGUCGGAGAGGUAGGCGGAAUUCCUAGUGUAGCGGUGAAAUGCGUAGAUAUUAGGAGGAACACCAGUGCCGAAGGCGGCUUGCUGGACGAUAACUGACGUUGAGGCUCGGAAGCGUGGGGAGCAAACAGGAUUAGAUACCCUGGUA
rnacentral:rRNA from 1 species